rnacentral:rRNA from 1 species
GACGAACGCUGGCGGCGUGCCUAAUACAUGCAAGUAGAACGCACAGUUUAUACCGUAGCUUGCUACACCAUAGACUGUGAGUUGCGAACGGGUGAGUAACGCGUAGGUAACCUGCCUGGGAGCGGGGGAUAACUAUUGGAAACGAUAGCUAAUACCGCAUAAUAUUAAUUAUUGCAUGAUAAUUGAUUGAAAGAUGCACCUGCAUCACUACCAGAUGGACCUGCGUUGUAUUAGCUAGUAGGUGAGGUAACGGCUCACCUAGGCGACGAUACAUAGCCGACCUGAGAGGGUGAUCGGACACACUGGGACUGAGACACGGCCCAGACUCCUACGGGAGGCAGCAGUAGGGAAUCUUCGGCAAUGGACGAAAGUCUGACCGAGCAACGCCGCGUGAGUGAAGAAGGUUUUCGGAUCGUAAAGCUCUGUUGUAAGAGAAGAACGGGUGUGAGAGUGGAAAGUUCACACUGUGACGGUAUCUUACCAGAAAGGGACGGCUAACUACGUG